rfam:Oryza nivara chromosome 12, whole genome shotgun sequence.
AUUACUUGUCGCUUUGAGUUUUUUAUGUAAUGUUUGAUCAUCCGUCUUAUUCGAAAAUUUUUAAAAUUAUUAUUUAUUUUGUUUGCGAUAUGUUUUAUUAUCAAAAGUACUUUAAAUAUGACUUAUCAUUUUUUAUAUUCGCACUAAUUUUUCAAAUAAAACGAAUGGUCAAACGUUGAAAGCAAAAGGUCAAAGCGACAAGUAAU